rnacentral:rRNA from 1 species
UAGAGUUUGAUCCUGGCUCAGAUUGAACGCUGGCGGUAUGCUUAACACAUGCAAGUCGAACGGUAGCAGGUCUUCGGAUGCUGACGAGUGGCGGACGGGUGAGUAACGCGUAGGAAUCUGCCUAUUAGGGGGGCAACGUGUGGAAACGCACGCUAAUACCGCAUACGCCCUACGGGGGAAAGGAGGGGAUCGCAAGACCUUUCGUAAUGAUGAGCCUGCGUAGGAUUAGCUAGUUGGGGGGUAAAGGCUCACCAAGGCGACGAUCCUUAGUGGUCUGAGAGGACGAUCAGCCACACUGGGACUGAGACACGGCCCAGACUCCUACGGGAGGCAGCAGUGGGGAAUAUUGGACAAUGGGCGCAAGCUGAUCCAGCAAUACCGCGUGUGUGAAGAAGGCCUGAGGGUUGUAAAGCACUUUCAAUAGGGAGGAAUACCCAUGGGUUAAUACCCCGUGGAUGACAUUACCUAUAGAAGAAGCCCGGCUAACUCGUGCCAGCAGCCGCGGUAA